UACGAAGGUCCCAAGCGUUGUUCGGAAUUACUGGGCGUAAAGCGUGCGUAGGCGGCGAGGUAAGUCAGAUGUGAAAUCCCGGGGCUCAACCCCGGAACUGCAUCCGAUACUGCCUUGCUAGAGUAAUGGAGGGGCAUCUGGAAUUCACGGUGUAGCAGUGAAAUGCGUGGAUAUCGUGAGGAACACUAGUGGCGAAGGCGAGAUGCUGGACAUUUACUGACGCUGAGGUACGAAGGCCAGGGUAGCGAACGGG
rnacentral:rRNA from 1 species